AUUGAACGCUGGCGGCAGGCCUAACACAUGCCAGUCGAGCGGAUGAAGGGAGCUUGCUCCUGGAUUCGGCGGCGGACGGGUGAGUAAUGCCUAGGAAUCUGCCUGGUAGUGGGGGAUAACGUCCGGAAACGGGCGCUAAUACCGCAUACGUCCUGAGGGAGAAAGUGGGGGAUCUUCGGACCUCACGCUAUCAGAUGAGCCUAGGUCGGAUUAGCUAGUUGGUGGGGUAAAGGCCUACCAAGGCGACGAUCCGUAACUGGUCUGAGAGGAUGAUCAGUCACACUGGAACUGAGACACGGUCCAGACUCCUACGGGAGGCAGCAGUGGGGAAUAUUGGACAAUGGGCGAAAGCCUGAUCCAGCCAUGCCGCGUGUGUGAAGAAGGUCUUCGGAUUGUAAAGCACUUUAAGUUGGGAGGAAGGGCAGUAAGUUAAUACCUUGCUGUUUUGACGUUACCAACAGAAUAAGCACCGGCUAACUUCGUG
rnacentral:rRNA from 1 species